GAAUUUGAGGUGUUGUUAAAGGGAUCAUUUUAGCAUUGGGUCCAGGUUGAACACAGACAAAAAAAUUCAAAGGAAAUUGAUAAAUUAAAGGAAAAUAGAAAAGUCAGAGGAGCCAGAAGGACUAAUUAUGUUAUAAAAAGGAAGGGGAGUUAGUAGGUAAUUUCUGAGAGACCUGGAAAUUAUAGUUGUGAUUAGACAAAAAGAACAUCAAAAAUUUUUUUCCAUCCUCCCCAAUCCCAUCCUCACCCCAGCAACCCGGGGA
rnacentral:lncRNA from 1 species